AUGCACAGAUAAAUAAAUAUUGACCAAAGUCAACUAUAAGGCUUUUUAAGACCCAAAAAAUACAAUAUCACAUAAAUCAUGGUGAAAUUUAGUGAGAACCGUGCCAAUCAUCCCAUGCCCCAAAAAUACCAUAAAGAAAUUAUGAGAAGGGGUAAAAUAGUUAAAUCACGUAGAAAUAAAUAAUUUACAUAAAUCAUCAAAAGUCAAGUUGUUACAGAGUAGAUAUUAGAUAAUUUAAGGAUGCAGCUAACCCAACUGCACUACAAAGAUAAUAUUCGAUUACUUCUUUGGGUACGGCCCACCUUGAGGGCCUUCCGUGCCAGUUGAUAGAUUGAGAGGCUAAUACCAAAUGGGGAUAUUGAUAUGACGAGUUGGAAAGUGGAGCCUACUACUACUACAGUCAAUAAGGGGGUUGCGGGCACUUCAUCACCAACGUCGGCUUCUACUUUUCCCCUUCCCCUACCAGUUAUAGGUUUUUUUAGUAUGCCUCAGGAUUUUUUACAAUAACUAGUGGAUCAUCAUCAAGAGUUGGCUGAUUUCCAAGCAUAGACAAAGACCCAGUUAGCCAUAUUAUUUCGUCAUAUCAGGCCAUGGAUCCAAACCACAUUAGCGAUUUUCAAGGCUAGAGUUGAGGGUAAAAUGAUAGCCACCACAGAGUGGUUCACAUGAGAUCUAUAUGAGCAUAUUGAUAGUUUUAAGGCCUAGAUGAGAGAACGACUUUGUAAAGUCCAGGUGCCUGAUUUAUUGGUCCUAUACGAGGAGGUGGACAUAUUGAGAUCAAAGGUUCACUCUUUAGCUGAGAGACACAUCCCAAUCAUCCCUUUGAUCCUUUCUUUCAUGCAGGUACUUCCCAGACCUCCACCUAUGGUUUUUAAUUUAUUUUCUAAGGAUGACGAGGCCCCUCCUAUUGGGGCUAAGGGAGGAUAUGAGGAUAUGGAGUUAGAUAAUCCUAAUAUGGAGAUUCAAUGGACCUUAAAAAAGUCCAUUAUCGAUUCUAGUAUGCAACAUACUGAUGAUGAAAGGCGACGUGCCAAGAUGGCACUGGGUGCCUCACUGGGCGCCUCCUCUAUUCAUACACCACCACCUUCUCUUGGCAAUGAGCCAUGUAAUGACCCAGAUGAGGGCAAGCCAUCUUCUGAUACCUAAAGUGUCCCAGGAGACCAUGUGUGAUGUUAAGAGAAAUGUUCGGGAGAAGAAAAAGCUUAAAUAAUGUUGGAAAAGCUAUUACAAAGUGCAGAACUCAAAGGCAAAUGGAAGGAGUCUGCUAUAAAGAGAAGUGGACGAUUUGAGAACAAGGCCCUCGAAAACCUCCAAGAUAAGGGUGUGCCAUGCACUAAAACACAAAUUAAAUAUCAAUUUCCACUGUGCAUCCAUGAUUAUGGCAUGUCAUAUCCCUAAACACGCAGAUACAAAGGCGUGACACGCCCAAGGAUAAAAAAUGGCCUAAUUGCUUCCAUACUAUAAAUAGGACAUUAGAUCUUAGUGUUAACAUCUUGGACCACUUUGGAGAUGGAAAAACACAUGAGGAAGCUGCAAUAUGGUUCUUAAUCUUUGCUUUAGGUUAAUUUUGGUUUUUACAUAUGAAUUUCAUGUGUGCAAUUCGUUGUAAACUAUAAGUGGCAACACCUUUGUUCAAGGGUUGAGGCCAAGAACUUGAAUACUUAUAUUAUAAUUGAAUUGGUUUAAUGUUGAUUAUCA